GAUGAACGCUGGCGGCGUGCCUAAUACAUGCAAGUCGAGCGAACAGACGAGGAGCUUGCUUCUCUGACGUUAGCGGCGGACGGGUGAGUAACACGUGGAUAACCUACCUAUAAGACUGGGAUAACUUCGGGAAACCGGAGCUAAUACCGGAUAAUAUAUUGAACCGCAUGGUUCCAUAGUGAAAGACGGUUUUGCUGUCACUUAUAGAUGGAUCCGCGCCGCAUUAGCUAGUUGGUAAGGUAACGGCUUACCAAGGCAACGAUGCGUAGCCGACCUGAGAGGGUGAUCAGCCACACUGGAACUGAGACACGGUCCAGACUCCUACGGGAGGCAGCAGUAGGGAAUCUUCCACAAUGGGCGAAAGCCUGACGGAGCAACGCCGCGUGAGUGAUGAAGGUCUUCGGAUCGUAAAACUCUGUUAUUAGGGAAGAACAAAUGUGUAAGUAACUAUGCACGUCUUGACGGUACCUAAUCAGAAAGCCACGGCUAACUACGUG
rnacentral:rRNA from 1 species